rnacentral:rRNA from 1 species
UACGUAGGGUGCAAGCGUUGUCCGGAAUUAUUGGGCGUAAAGAGCUCGUAGGCGGUUUGUCGCGUCUGCUGUGAAAACCCGAGGCUCAACCUCGGGCCUGCAGUGGGUACGGGCAGACUAGAGUGCGGUAGGGGAGAUUGGAAUUCCUGGUGUAGCGGUGAAAUGCGCAGAUAUCAGGAGGAACACCGGUGGCGAAGGCGGAUCUCUGGGCCAUUACUGACGCUGAGGAGCGAAAGCGUGGGGAGCGAACAGG